rnacentral:SRP_RNA from 1 species
GCCGGGCGUGGUGGCGCACGCCUGUAGUCCCAGCUACUUGGGAGGCUGAGGCAGGAGAAUCGCUUGAACCCAGGAGGUGGAGGUUGCAGUGAGCCAAGAGGGUGACACUGCACUCCAGCCUGGGCGACAGAGUGAGGCUCUGUCUCAA